UACGGGGGGGGCAAGCGUUGUUCGGAAUUACUGGGCGUAAAGGGCGCGUAGGCGGCCACCGCAAGUCAGUUGUGAAAUCUCUGGGCUUAACCCAGAACGGUCAGCUGAUACUGCGGGGCUAGAGUGCAGAAGGGGCAACUGGAAUUCUCGGUGUAGCGGUGAAAUGCGUAGAUAUCAGGAGGAACACCGAUGGCGAAGGCAGGUCUCUGGGCAUUAACUGACGCUGAGGAGCGAAAGCAUGGGGAGCGAACAGG
rnacentral:rRNA from 1 species